rnacentral:tRNA from 1 species
GGUACUGUGGCUUAGCUGGAUAAAGUGCCUGUCUAGUAAACAGGAGAUCCUGGGUUCAAAUCCCAGCAGUACCU